rnacentral:rRNA from 1 species
UCCGUAGGCGGGCAAUUAAGUCAGAGGUGAGAUCCCACAGCUCAACUGUGGAACUGCCUUUGAUACUGGUUGUCUUGAGUUACAGUGAAGUAGAUAGAAUAUGUAGUGUAGCGGUGAAAUGCAUAGAUAUUACAUAGAAUACCGAUUGCGAAGGCAGUCUACUAACUGUAUACUGACGCUAAUGGACGAAAGCGUGGGGAGCGAACAGGAUUAGAUACCCUGGUAGUCC